UACGUAUGGGGCGAGCGUUGUUCGGAAUUAUUGGGCGUAAAGGGCGUCUAGGCGGGAAAUUAAGUUAGGUGUGAAAGCUAUGGGCUCAACCCAUAAACUGCACCUAAAACUGAUUUUCUUGAGUUCGGGAGAGGAGAGCGGAAUUCCAGGUGUAGCGGUGAAAUGCGUAGAUAUCUGGAAGAACACCAGUGGCGAAGGCGGCUCUCUGGCCUAGAACUGACGCUGAAGCGCGAAAGCGUGGGGAG
rnacentral:rRNA from 1 species